rnacentral:tRNA from 1 species
GGGCCAAUAGCUCAGCUGGUAGAGCACCUGCUUUGCAAGCAGGGGGUCAGGGGUUCAAAUCCCCUUUGGUCCA